rnacentral:rRNA from 1 species
GCUCAGGACGAACGCUGGCGGCGUGCUUAACACAUGCAAGUCGAACGAUGAACCGGGUGCUUGCAUUUGGGGAUUAGUGGCGAACGGGUGAGUAACACGUGAGUAACCUGCCCUGGACUCUGGGAUAACCCCGAGAAAUCGGAGCUAAUACCGGAUAGGACCUGGAACCGCAUGGUUUUGGGUGGAAAGUUUUUUCGGUCUGGGAUGGACUCGCGGCCUAUCAGCUUGUUGGUGAGGUAAUGGCUCACCAAGGCGUCGACGGGUAGCCGGCCUGAGAGGGUGACCGGCCACACUGGGACUGAGACACGGCCCAGACUCCUACGGGAGGCAGCAGUGGGGAAUAUUGCACAAUGGGCGAAAGCCUGAUGCAGCAACGCCGCGUGAGGGAUGACGGCCUUCGGGUUGUAAACCUCUUUUAGUAAGGAAGAAGGGGAGCUUGCUCCUGACG